rnacentral:rRNA from 1 species
GUUGCAGGGUAUAGACCCGAAACCCGGUGAUCUAGCCAUGGGCAGGUUGAAGGUUGGGUAACACUAACUGGAGGACCGAACCGACUAAUGUUGAAAAAUUAGCGGAUGACUUGUGGCUGGGGGUGAAAGGCCAAUCAAACCGGGAGAUAGCUGGUUCUCCCCGAAAGCUAUUUAGGUAGCGCCUCGUGAAUUCAUCUCCGGGGGUAGAGCACUGUUUCGGCAAGGGGGUCAUCCCGACUUACCAACCCGAUGCAAACUGCGAAUACCGGAGAAUGUUAUCACGGGAGACACACGGCGGGUGCUAACGUCCGUCGUGAAGAGGGAAACAACCCAGACCGCCAGCUAAGGUCCCAAAGUCAUGGUUAAGUGGGAAACGAUGUGGGAAGGCCCAGACAGCCAGGAUGUUGGCUUAGAAGCAGCCAUCAUUUAAAGAAAGCGUAAUAGCUCACUGGUCGAGUCGGCCUGCGCGGAAGAUGUAACGGGGCUAAACCAUGCACCGAAGCUGCGGCAGCGACGCUUAUGCGUUGUUGGGUAGGGGAGCGUUCUGUAAGCCUGCGAAGGUGUGCUGUGAGGCAUGCUGGAGGUAUCAGAAGUGCGAAUGCUGACAUAAGUAACGAUAAAGCGGGUGAAAAGCCCGCUCGCCGGAAGACCAAGGGUUCCUGUCCAACGUUAAUCGGGGCAGGGUGAGUCGACCCCUAAGGCGAGGCCGAAAGGCGUAGUCGAUGGGAAACAGGUUAAUAUUCCUGUACUUGGUGUUACUGCGAAGGGGGGACGGAGAAGGCUAUGUUGGCCGGGCGACGGUUGUCCCGGUUUAAGCGUGUAGGCUGGUUUUCCAGGCAAAUCCGGAAAAUCAAGGCUGAGGCGUGAUGACGAGGCACUACGGUGCUGAAGCAACAAAUGCCCUGCUUCCAGGAAAAGCCUCUAAGCAUCAGGUAACAUCAAAUCGUACCCCAAACCGACACAGGUGGUCAGGUAGAGAAUACCAAGGCGCUUGAGAGAACUCGGGUGAAGGAACUAGGCAAAAUGGUGCCGUAACU